rnacentral:tRNA from 1 species
GAGAGAGGCCCGAUGCAACAGGGACUGCUAAUCCCUGCCCCCAUGGUUAAACUCCAUGGCUCACUCG